AUGGCGAUGAUAGUCUUCGAUGCAUGGAGUUCAUCCGCCCCACCUCCCACGCAUGAACAUGACAAGGGGCUCGCGCUCGCUAUUAUCGCUGACCAACAGAAUAUGGGGGUUGACGAAUGCGAUGAUCCAGAGAGCAAGGUCGACUAUGUACCUCUCAAUGAGGAGGAGCUCGCGCUCACCACUAUUGCUGGCCAACAGCCCACGGCGGCUGACGAAUGCGGUGAUCCAGAGAGCGAGGUCGACUUUGUCCCUCUCAGAGUCGUGAGGCCGGAUGAUGAGCAGCCAAAGCAUCCUGGCGGGCGGGUUAAAGUGUGUGCACAUAAACCCAGGACGAAGAAAGUGAAGAGAACGCGGCUGGCAGAUUCCAAGAGUGACAAGGGUGAUAAUUUUGCGCCAAUGGGGAAGAGAGGGAGGCCGACACGCGCCAAGUCUGCUAAGAGCAAGACGUGGUGUAACACGGAGUUUGUUUACGGCGACAACAUCAACAUUAGUAGCAGUAGUGAGAGCGAUAGCGAGGGAAACAAAGAUGCUGAUUAUAAUCCUACGAGGAAGACAGGUAGGCUGGUACGCGCCAAGUCUGUCAAGAGUAAUAUGUGGCGUAAACCGGAGUUUGUUUACGGUGACAACCUCGACAUUAGCAGUAGUGCGAGCGAGACUGAGGGAAACAAAGAUGAUGAUUAUGAUCCGAUGGCAUCCGACAUUGAUGGCCACCCAAAGAAAUGUGCAAGAAGAUCUCGAGGGAGGCCAACACGCGCCAAGUCAGCUAAGAGCAAGAUGUGGCGUAAACCAGAGUUUGUUAACAGUGACAACAUUAACAUUAGUAGCAAUGGUGAGAGCGAGAGCGAGAGAAACAAAGAUGAUGAUUAUGAUCCAACGGCACCUGACGCUGAUGGCCACCGCCAGAAAUAUGCAAGCUCCCAUGACAUACGUGGCUCUGCUUUCGAAAGAGCUUCGGAGGUAAUGAAGAAAUUGACAGGAAAAGGAGCAAGCUUCAUCAAGCUUAUGCAACCCUCACACGUCGAUAGGGUUUUCUGGCUUGGUAUCCCGCGUAAAUUUUGCAAAGAGCAUCUUCCGGAGAAAGACACUCUGAUGACCCUAGAAGAUGAAGAAGGACGGAGUUACAAUGCAAACUACCUUGUCGCUAGGGAUGGACUUAGCGGCGGGUGGAAAAACUUUGCAGAAAGGCAUAGCCUUAAGGUCGACGACACCCUCGUCUUUCGACUCGUGAGCUCGGAAAAAUUCAAGGUGUAUAUAGUAAGAGAGAAUGAGCUGACGACAACUGAUGAUAAUGUCAACUCCAAGGAGGAGGAUCCAAAUAUUACUACCGGGGUCAGCGGCACAAGAGCCAACGACGACAGCAACAACGAGAUCGACCUAGUAGCAGCCAAUGAUGAUGGGCUGCCGUCGGUAGAGAAUAUGAGACUGAGAGCCCUCGCGUCAAAGAUGGCGACUGUCCAGGAUGCUCUCAAGGCGGUGAAUGAGGAGGUGGGGGAGCUGGAGUUGAGCGUGAAGAAGGCCGUGCAGGCUGUGCGGCGGAUGACAACCUGA
rnacentral:rRNA from 1 species